GAGUUGAAGUAGCUUUCCAGAGAUAGGGAACCACGGGUGAUGAACUGAGCUGAGAAGAAAGUUGAAAUUUUUGAGAAAGUGAAGAAAACCUUGGAUAGAGAACAAGAGAGAUGUGGGCACAAAAUUAGGCUGGAGUGGUCAGAUGGAGAGGGUGGUGUCAAAAAGAAGACAGAGUGAGCAGUCAGGAAGGCAGGAGGACAACCAAGAUUGGUCUCAAAAGCCAAGAGAAGUGUCUCACAAAUAAGAUCCAAAAAGGGUGUCAGCCCUAAUUGGGGAUAGAUCCCAGUGACCUGGGUAUGGUGGACACAACUGAAUAACGUGGGUGGAUGUCAAGUUGGAGUGGAGUAGAGUGAAAAAGUGGAGAGGUGAGUGUGGAUGGGAGGCGAGAGGUAAGCAGAGGAAGAUGUAGGACCAGGGACAUGCAUUUUAAAUUGGUAUAGACCAGAACAUUUUAGAUGAUGAUAGGAAGGAUUCUACAGAGAGGAGGCUGAAGAUACUGGAGAGAGAAGACCAUAAGGUUCCUGAAAGGCAGGAAGGGUUGGGAUACAGAGAACAAGUGGAGGCACAGCGUUUUGUUGGCUGGAUCGACGCAUUUCCCUUUCUAAUGGCAAGAAGGGGGAAAAGGAUGGGGGUACCUACAAGGUCAGUUAGAAGUUCUCGUGUUGGAAAGUGGGAGCAGUUCUUGGCCUGAUGAAUCUGAUCUCUCUGUGAAAAGCCCAUGUCAAGAGCUGAGAACGGGGCAAGGAGGAAGAGGCUGGAGAUUCGUGCGACAGGAGAAUGUUUAAAACAGUUUUCAAAAGUUCUCAGAGGGGGCAAAUGAGCUGCCUAAAGAGAUGUAAUAGAAGCACCAAGUAUUAUUGCUCAGGAGUGUGAAUCUAAAGCCAAUUGUAUAAUUUCUCUAAACCUUAGUUCUCUUAUCAGUUAAAUAGGGCCCUGCCUAAACCAGGCCCCAGACAACAGCAAUAACAAAUUAUUUCUGGAUGUAGCCACCAUGAAGAGUCAGUAAAAGCUGCCUUCUUUUAGUGUUGCUGGCAGGACACUACCAUGUAAGAGCUCA